rnacentral:tRNA from 1 species
GCCCGGGUGGUGGAAUAGGUAGACACGCAGGACUUAAAAUCCUGUGAACAGCAAUGUUCGUACGGGUUCGAUUCCCGUCCCGGGUA